rnacentral:lncRNA from 1 species
CAACAAAUUCUUUGGAAACUUGUAAAACAUACAUUAAAAUUCAUACAAGUCUGUUUUAUAAAGUUCUGAAGUUAUUUAGAAAUUAUAAUAUCUUACACAACAAUUAUUCAGAUGAUACAAAGAUAAGAUCAUGAUUUUCUUCAGACACUUUGUUCUUUUUGGAGCUAAUUAUCAUACUUUGUAGCACUUGGCCUGGGUUCAAAAUCAUCGUACUUCGUAAUACUUGGUCUGGGUUUAAAAUCAUCAUACUUCGUAAUACUUGGCCUGGGUUCAAAAUCAUCGUACUUCGUAAUACUUGGUCUGGGUUCAAAAUCAUCGUACUUCGUAAUACUUGGUCUGGGUUCAAUAUCAUCCUUCUUAUUAGCAUUUAACCUGAGUUCAAAAUCACCAUACUUAGUAGCACUUGGUCUAGGUUCNNNNNNN